GUGGGGAAUAUUGGACAAUGGGGGGAACCCUGAUCCAGCCAUGCCGCGUGUGUGAAGAAGGCCUUUUGGUUGUAAAGCACUUUAAGCGAGGAGGAGGCUACCGAGAUUAAUACUCUUGGAUAGUGGACGUUACUCGCAGAAUAAGCACCGGCUAACUCUGUGCCAGCAGCCGCGGUAAUACAGAGGGUGCAAGCGUUAAUCGGAUUUACUGGGCGUAAAGCGCGCGUAGGUGGCCAAUUAAGUCAAAUGUGAAAUCCCCGAGCUUAACUUGGGAAGUGCAUUCGAUACUGGUUGGCUAGAGUAUGGGAGAGGAUGGUAGAAUUCCAGGUGUAGCGGUGAAAUGCGUAGAGAUCUGGAGGAAUACCGAUGGCGAAGGCAGCCAUCUGGCCUAAUACUGACACUGAGGUGCGAAAGCAUGGGGAGCAAACAGGAUUAGAUACCCGGGUAGUCC
rnacentral:rRNA from 1 species